rnacentral:rRNA from 1 species
UUUCUAAAUUUAUAAUAGAAUUUUAUUUUUUAGUCAAAAAGCUAAAAUAUAUUUAAAAGACGAGAAGACCCUAUAAAUCUUUAUAUUUAGGUUAUUAUAAUUUUAUAGAUUUUUUUUGUUAUAAUAAUUGAUAAUAUUUUAUUGGGGUGAUAUUAAAAUUUGAUAAACUUUUAAUUGUUUAAAUCAUUAAUUUAUGAAUAAUUGAUCCGUUAUUAGCGAUUAAAAAAAUAAGUUACCUUAGGGAUAACAG